rfam:Daedalea quercina L-15889 unplaced genomic scaffold DAEQTscaffold_2, whole genome shotgun sequence.
GGCUUUGUAGUGUAGUGGUUAUCACAGCGGAUUCUGAUGCCUCACACUGCUAAGAUUUCCGUUAACCCAGGUUCGAGUCCUGGCAAGGCCU